UUAAAAUGAUGCUGACCAUCAGGAAGUGUUCCAAAUUAUAUUUUAGCCUUUAUGUUGGGAAAUAUUGUGAAACUUCUUCUAAAUUAAUGGGGGAGGGGCAUUCAUUGUAGCUCUUGUAGCCUGAUAAGGCUUCUCUAAAUUAUCUUUUUUUAAAUUUUAAUUAAAGUAAUUAAUUAAUUUUUUGCAGGGGGUGGUAAUUAUGUUUUUAUUUAUUUUAUUUUUAUAAGAAGUUCUGGGGAUUGAACCCAGGCCCUUGUGCAUGCUAAGAAUAUGAUCUUUCACUUGAGCUAUACCCCCCUAAAUUAUCUUUAAUAAGGUCUUUUUCUCUGUUUUGUUAUUUUCUUUUAUGUACAGAUGCACAAAGCAGGGUCAUCAGAAGCCUCUCAAUUCCAAAGAUGAUUAUAGUGAAAAACAUUGCACAGUGACAGUGAAUCCUUGGAAUAUGAAGAAAGAUUGUAAAGUCCUGAAUGAAUUAAGAAGGAAUUGUUACAUUAACUUACAUAGAAAACUUGAGCCUAUGAAUCUAAACUCAUCUGUGAUGGUCUGCAGCUGGGAGCAAGCAGAUCAGUGUCAGUCCCUUUGCAGCCGUUGGCUGGGAGCCUGCAUGUUCCCUGGAAUGAUAUUUGAAACAUGUCACCCUAGCCGUGCCUUUGCUCUGGACUGGGAGGCGAGUCAGUCAGAAUCUGCAUUAUGGAAUGUUUUGGAUGACAAGCUUGUAUUUGCAAAUGUACACACCCUGUGGGAGGUGCUCUGUACAUACGCUGAGAUACUGUACAUAAAAUUGCCUCUGAAUCCCAAUCAUCUGAAAACCGUGUCCUCAGCCUUUGAUACCUUCAGCUGUUUUAUGAAAGUCCUCCAAGUGGAUGAAAGUAUCAACAACCGGAACAAGAGUUUUUCAUUGCCCUAUUUGAGAAGAGCUGCGUGAACGACUUUUAUAUUCAGGAUAGAGAUACAUUCAUCAAUCCAACCACCAGGAGCCUCACUGGACUCCAUCUGAGAUGACAGCAACCCCUCAAAUUCAGAAGCACUUCUCUAACUGACAACAUCUCGCAUGAAAUGAAGUUUGUAAAAUGUAAGAGCUUCAGACGCUAAAUGAUGCCAUAAAUGCAAAGAUGUUAUAUCUAAGCUCUUUAAAUAAAUCCUGUCAUUGAAAUAAAGGAAAUACUAUAUUAUAGCGCUCUAUGACUUUGUUACCUUGCUAUCCGUUUAUCUGACUCUCUAAGACAAAAGAAAGCAAAGACUGAGAUUGAUCAUUACUACUGUGUGGUACACGUAUUUGUGGAUGAAGACCAUACUGAAAUGCACUGUCUAAGAUACUAAAAUGGACACUAAACAGCUGCUUGAUGCACAUGCAUGAACAGAACAGGGAGCUGGUUGCAGGGAGCAGACACUGAGCUUCCUGGAUCAGAGACUCAGCAUAGCAGUCCAGCCCAGCAGUCCACAUGUUUUAUAUUUAUAUCCCAGCAAAAUUAGCAGUGAGAGUCUGAAAUGAACUUUGGGGACACUUGCAAACAGCUGUCAUGAUUACUAAUGUGGGACACCAGGAUUCUACAGUGUUUAGUUGGCAUCUGCACACAACCAUUUCUUUUCCACUAAAGCCUGUUGUAAUUGCUGGUUCCACAUCCAGGCUGAGGAAUCAUCUCAUGUGGUGUUUGGGAGGGAGGUAAGUGGAGUCAGGACCCAUGCUAAGGCUGGGUGGGUAAUAAUCUGGUUCUAGUACAGGAGAAAGGAAAGUAGGUCAGGUGGGAAGGAGAAUGACUGGAUUUAAAUUUUGUUUCUAGAGUAAGCUAAAUAUAUAACAUCAUGUCAAGUUUCUUUAUUGUUUAUAUUCCAUGUGCUGUCACCGAAUAACUACUGA